rnacentral:lncRNA from 1 species
AUUUAAUAAAUAUUUUACAUUUAUUAACAAAAAUAUACAAAUUAGUAUUUUACAAUCCAAAUUUAAAUGUAUAAUAAUUGAAUUGCAACAACUCAUUUUUUUUCUUUCUGGCAACACAUUACAACAUUACAGCCUGUAAAGCAACUCAUCAAUCCUCAGCCAAGCCUCACCCAAGUCAUUUCAGACACCAUUUCUUCCUUACGCUUCCUUCUUCACACACAUCAACACAAUCUCCUGCCAAAAAAACAACUUUUAUUAUCAAAAUCCUUUGUAAACAUGAUAGAAACCAGCAGAGUUUACUUUUAACAUUUGUGUAAUAAAGGACAGAAAAAAUUAUUUCCCUAAUAGUACAUUGCUUAAAAUUUGUUGCAAAACCAAUGAAAAAUCCAGCUAAAAUUAGUGCGAAACAAUACAAGAUCCAGAACUCGUUUUAUCUAAUAAACAAAAACAUUCACUGGUUUACCUGUAAAUUGAUGAAAAAAUCAAGAAAAGAAGGACGAAAAAAAUAAACACAAAACAGAGGUUCUAAAUUCUGAAAUAGAGGGGAGAGGUUCUAAAUUUUGAAAUAGAGUUAUCACUGUUAUCCAAACAAACAGAGGAACAAUUUGAAGAAGGAUUAAGAUAUUUUCGUUAUUUUUCAUUUGCAUUUCCUAAUAAUGAAAUUUAUUAUUGUUAUAGAUUUGAUUGAGAAGCAUUAGAAAGUUAGAAAAGAUAGGACUCGAACCUUGUUUGUCUUGGCCGCCAUUUUCUUUCUCCUGGAUGCGCCGCUCAUCCUUCAUGGUUGGUUAUGUCUGGUUUGUUUCCUC